rnacentral:lncRNA from 1 species
AAACAAGACAGUCAUUAACCUAGGACAAAUGAAAAUAUGGGAGGGAAAGCAAGCGUAGUAAGGAUCACGUCUGUUCAGUCUGUCGCUGACACACCUCAAGAAAUCCCCGAUGUGAAAGAGGAGGUUGCAAGCACGUAUGUGAGAGUGUACUGAGAACAUGCUGUCUAUCAAAAUGUCGCCUUGUGUUGCGUCUCUGUCCCUCACGCCCUUUCCUUGAGGAAGAGCCUUGUCUGUAUGAGCUGUGCGAUCAAAGCCUGUGCUGGCAGCUCUCUGCACUGAAACCUGGGACUUCCUGGGGCUGAAAGCCUUGAAUUUUUGCCUCUGGAGCUGCAGAGCCAUUCUGUCCAACUGUAGCUGUUGCACGCCUGUCUGUGCACUGGGUGUACACCUUAAAACCACAUUAGUGGCGCAGACUCUUGCUCGGCUGGCGAACUGGUGUCAAUCUGCUUGCCAGACCCUCAGUUUAGGUCUCAGAAGUCUGGGAAUGAAGCCUAAUCUUCCAGAUGAGGAAAAGGGAAUUGAAGCUUUUGGAUCCGAGCUAUUCUGAACCUUGAAACUCUGCAGGAAUAGGUGUAUCUUAGCAGUCCUUUCACAGGCCCAAGGUGAGCAUUUCUCUCAUUCCUUCCUGUCUUGUUAAUUAGGACAAGCGUU